rnacentral:rRNA from 1 species
UACGUAGGUGGCAAGCGUUGUCCGGAUUUAUUGGGUUUAAAGGGCGCGUAGGCGGCGUAACAAGUCACUUGUGAAAUCUCCGGGCUUAACCCGGAGCGGCCAAGUGAUACUGUUGUGCUAGAGUGCGGAAGGGGCUACUGGAAUUCAUGGUGUAGCAGUGAAAUGCGUAAAGAUCAUGAGGAAGACCAGUGGCGAAGGCGGGUCUCUGGACAGUUCCUGACACUGAGACACGAAGGCCAGGGGAGCAAACGGG